AUUGAACGCUGGCGGCAGGCCUAACACAUGCAAGUCGAGCGGAUGAAGGGAGCUUGCUCCUGGAUUCAGCGGCGGACGGGUGAGUAAUGCCUAGGAAUCUGCCUGGUAGUGGGGGAUAACGUCCGGAAACGGGCGCUAAUACCGCAUACGUCCUUAGGGAGAAAGUGGGGGAUCUUCGGACCUCACGCUAUCAGCUGAGCCUAGGUCGGAUUAGCUAGUUGGUGGGGUAAAGGCCUACCAAGGCGACGAUCCGUAACUGGUCUGAGAGGAUGAUCAGGCACACUGGAACUGAGACACGGUCCAGACUCCUACGGGAGGCAGCAGUGGGGAAUAUUGGACAAUGGGCGAAAGCCUGAUCCAGCCAUGCCGCGUGUGUGAAGAAGGUCUUCGGAUUGUAAAGCACUUUAAGUUGGGAGGAAGGGCAGUAAGUUAAUACCUUGCUGUUUUGACGUUACCAACAGAAUAAGCACCGGCUAACUUCGUG
rnacentral:rRNA from 1 species